CUUAUUUCUAGGUUAAAAAAUUGCCCCAGUAAUCGUGACCCCCUCCACCCUCGUUUGACCUCGCGCGCAGCACCUCUUCCAUGACGGCGCCCCCCACCUCCAUUCGACAACCACGGACAGCACCCCAACACAGUAGCCCAGCCGUCGUUCGACCCCAAGACAACAACCCCGCCAUUGCUCAACAUCCACAACAGUUUGUGUGACUGGAGUCAACCUCUAUUCUCCGGCGACUGGAUUCUUCCUUCUCAGGCGACAACACCUCAGGAGCACUACGGAUUCUCCAGACCAUCAUGGUUAGUAGAUGGUAACAGAAUCUCUACAAAGAUCAAGAGUGCAUCUAGCAACCGUGAUCUUGAAAGAAUUAAUUGGAAAAGCAACCCAGCUAGAGCCUGUCCUAAUUGUGAAUUUGUGAUUGACAACAAUGAAAAUGUUUCAGUUGCUGUAGUCUGCUUAUUCUACAAUAAGCAUCCCAGACACUGCUCUUUUUCUAGGAAUGAACGAGGAUAAUGCCACAAAUUAUUCAACAAGUCAAGUGCAAAAGAAAAUCUGAUUUGGAAGGCUUUGGUGUGUUGACAUUUGGAAGAUCAUGAAUUCCUACCUUUACUUUUGCAUAUGCAACUGUUUAAGACUAUUUUGUUCACUAUUGUGAGAAUUUUUUUUUAUGUUAAUUAGGCAGUGUUGAAUAUCUUAAGACUUUUGCAUUAUUUUUUUAGAUAAUCUCGAAUGUAUUUUGACACAAUUAUUUUGUUAUAUGUGUUAUGAACCAUAUAAUUGGUACUCAAAAAUAUAUUUGUACAAUGUUAAGGGUGUUUUUAGUAUAUUAAAUGAAGCGGGUUUGAAUUA